GUGGGGAAUCUUGCGCAAUGGGCGAAAGCCUGACGCAGCCAUGCCGCGUGAAUGAUGAAGGUCUUAGGAUUGUAAAAUUCUUUCACCGGGGACGAUAAUGACGGUACCCGGAGAAGAAGCUCCGGCUAACUUCGUGCCAGCAGCCGCGGUAAUACGAAGGGGGCUAGCGUUGCUCGGAAUUACUGGGCGUAAAGGGCGCGUAGGCGGACAGCUUAGUCAGAGGUGAAAGGCCAGGGCUCAACCUUGGAAUUGCCUUUGAUACUGGCUGUCUUGAGUUCGAGGGAGGUGAGUGGAAUUCCGAGUGUAGAGGUGAAAUUCGUAGAUAUUCGGAGGAACACCAGUGGCGAAGGCGGCUCACUGGCUCGAUACUGACGCUGAGGUGCGAAAGCGUGGGGAGCAAACAGGAUUAGAAACCCCGGUAGUCC
rnacentral:rRNA from 1 species